GAUGAACGCUGGCGGCGUGCUUAACACAUGCAAGUCGAACGAUGAAGCCCAGCUUGCUGGGUGGAUUAGUGGCGAACGGGUGAGUAACACGUGAGUAACCUGCCCUUAACUCUGGGAUAAGCCUGGGAAACUGGGUCUAAUACCGGAUAGGAGCGUCCACCGCAUGGUGGGUGUUGGAAAGAUUUAUCGGUUUUGGAUGGACUCGCGGCCUAUCAGCUUGUUGGUGAGGUAAUGGCUCACCAAGGCGACGACGGGUAGCCGGCCUGAGAGGGUGACCGGCCACACUGGGACUGAGACACGGCCCAGACUCCUACGGGAGGCAGCAGUGGGGAAUAUUGCACAAUGGGCGCAAGCCUGAUGCAGCGACGCCGCGUGAGGGAUGACGGCCUUCGGGAUGUAAACCUCUUUCAGUAGGGAAGAAGCGAAAGUGACGGUACCUGCAGAAGAAGCACCGGUUAACUACGUG
rnacentral:rRNA from 1 species